rnacentral:tRNA from 1 species
GAAGUAGCUAGUUAAAAUUUUAUAACAGUAUUUUGUCAAUUUACUAUUACCGAAUUCGGUGCACUUCU